UUUGUUCUAUAAAUCAAAACGACUCUCGGCAACGGAUAUCUCGGCUCUCGCAUCGAUGAAGAACGUAGCGAAAUGCGAUACGUGGUGUGAAUUGCAGAAUUCCGUGAAUCAUCGAGUUUUUGAACGCAAGUUGCGCCCGAAGCCUAGGCCGA
rnacentral:rRNA from 1 species